rnacentral:tRNA from 1 species
ACCUCGAUAGUACAAUCGAUAGCAUACCAGACCGAAAAUCUGUAGAUGCAGGUUCAUGUCCUACUUGAGGUC